UACGAGGGGGGCAAGUGUUGUUCGGAAUCACUGGGCGUAAAGGGAGCGUAGGCGGGCGUUUUAAGUUAGGUGUUUAAUCCCGGGGCCCAACCCCGGACCGGCACCUAAAACUGGACGUCUUGAAUAGUGGAGAGGUCGGUGGAAUUGGAGGUGUAGCGGUGGAAUGCGUAGAGAUCUCCAAGAACACCCGUUGCGAAGGCGGCCGACUGGACACAUAUUGACGCUGAGGCUCGAAAGCAUGGGGAGCAAACAGG
rnacentral:rRNA from 1 species